CUGGAACCGCCUAAGACACCACCCCAGCCAGCAUGGCCGGCAGGAGCGCACCGCGCUGUCUCCCUCCAGGGAUCCGCACCGCCCUACAAUCCUGCUUUGUGCUGAGAUUGUAGUCCUGCAGGCGUACAACUAACAAGCUGGGUGCAGAUAAGAGACUACAGCUCCCCGCAUCCCAAGCAAAGGUCCCUCCUCUACGGAGCCCCUCCACGCGUCCACUGCGGUUCCGCCGUGCCAAGGGGAGCUUGGCUGUUCACGGGCCUCACCUGCUAGCGAGAAGAUAGCUUGGCCGGGCGGCUGAUCUCACCUUGUAAUUCUGACACUGUGUCUCCCGGGCUUGUCGGCUUCAUGACUUGUGCCCAAAGUUUGAUUUCUCGCAGACCAGGAGGACCCAUUGGACCCCCGGGCUGGCUGCAGGGCCCACACCUGGGUUAGACCUCGCACAGGGACGCUGCUGCCACUGUAAUAAAGCGUGCCUACACGCUUCUGAAACUGGUGUAGGAACAACCUCAGUUCUGUGAAAGGCGGACGCAGCAGGACAGAAUCUCCGUGGACAUCUGUCUGGAGGAGCAAUUUUACUGCGACAUUUUAAAGAAACAAAUUUAAUUGAUUUCCAAGGGUGUCCAUCGCGCUUCCUUCACUGCCUUGAUCAUGUCGGGGUCACCACCUGCGGGGGUUUGUCCUGCAGACCCUGACUCAACGACGGAUGAAUAAUGUACACUGACACAGAUCUUAUGCUUGUCAGUCCUGCUGAGCAUCCAGGCCACUUACAGACUCCAAGAAGAGUCCUGUCAGCCACGGCUCUGACUUGUUGGCCCUCCCGGCAUUUAUUUAGCACACAUUUAAUGACAGAAGUCUCAGGCUGGAAACACUCUUUUUGUAGAACAUACAAAUGGACAUUUCUAAGCACAUUGAGGCCUAUAAUGAAAAAUCAAAUAUCCCACAAUGAAAACUAGAAGGAAGCUAUCUGUGAUAAUGCUUUGUGGUGUAUGGAUUCAUCUCACUGACUGAAACCUGAGUUUUGAUUCACCAGGUUGGAAACACUUUUACUGUAUUAUCUAUGAAGAAACGUUUUUGAGGCCAUUAAGUCCUACACUGAAAAACUGAAUAUACUGCAUUAAACAUUCUAAAGAAGCUAACUGUGAAAAUGCUUUGCAAUGUGUGUAUUUAUCUCACAGAGUUAAACCAUUGUUUUGAUUCAUCAGUUUGGAAACAGUUUCUUUGUAGAAUCUAUGAAGGGACCUUUCAGAGGCCAUUGAGGCCUAUAAUAAAGAAACAAAUAUCCCACAAUAAAACAAGAAACAUAUAGAAACAAGCUGUAUGUGAAAAUGCUUUGUGAUAUCUGGAUUCUUCUCACUGAAUCAAACCUGGGUUUUGAGUCACCAGGUUGGAAACACUUUUUUUGUAAAAUCUAGGAAGGGAAAUUUCUGAGCCCAUUGAGGCACAUAGUGAAAAACCGAGGAUCCUGUGAUAAAAACUAGAAAAACGCAAUAUGUGAAGUUGCUUUGUGAUGUGUGGAUUCGUCUCCCCGAAUGGAAUCUCUGUUUUGAUUCACCAGGUUGGAAACAAUGUUUUUGUAGAAUGUACAAUGAGACAUUUCUGAGUCCAUUUAGGCCUAUACUGAGAAACCCAAUAUCCUGCUAUAAGAAGUAGAAAAAUGCUAUCUGUAAAAAUGCUUUGUGAUGCAUGGAUUCAUCUCACAGAGUUAAAGCUUUGUUUGGAUUCAACAGGUGAAAAACCCUUUUUUACAGAAUCUACAAAAAACAUCUCUGAUCCCAUUGAAGUUUAUAGUGAAAAACAGAAUAUCCUGUGAUAAAAAGUAGAAACAAGCUAUCCGUUGAAAUGCUUUGCAAGGUCUGAAUUCAUCUGACAGAGUUAAACCUCUCUUUUAAUUCAUCAAUUUGGAAACACGCUUUUCUUAGAAUCUAUGAAGAAACAUUUCUGACCCAAUUGAAACCUAUACUGAAAAAUAGAAUAUCCCAAAAUAAAACCAGAGAAAAGUUAUCUCUGAAAAUGGAUUGUAAUAUGUGGAUUCAUCUAACAGAGUUAAACCUUUGUUUUGAUUCAACAGGUUGGAAACACUCUUGUUGUAGAAUCUAUGAAGGGAGAUUUCUGGGAGCAUUGAUGCUUAUAAUAAAAUACAGAGUAUCCCGCAAUGAAAAGUACAAACAACCUAUCUGUGCAAAUGCUUUGCCAUGUGGGAAUUCCUCUUACAAAGUUACACAUUUGUUUUGAUUCAAUAGGUUGAAACACUCUUUUUGUAGCAUCUACUAAGGAACAUUUCAGAGCUCACUGAGGCCUAUAAUGAAAAACUGAAUAUUCCAUGUUAAAAAGUAGAAACAAGCUAUAAGUUAAAAUGCUUUGGGUUUUCUGGAUUUACAUCACAGAUUUAAACUUUUGUUUUGAUUCAUCACCUUGGAAACUUGCUUUUUGUAGAAUCUAUGAAGGAACAUUUCUGAGCUCAUUGAGGCCUAUAGUGAAAAACGGAAUAUCCAGUGAUAAAAACCAGAAGCAAGCUAUCUGUGGAAAUGCUUUGUGAUGUUUGGAUUCAUCUCACAGAGUUAAAUCUUUGUUUUAAUUAAACGGGUUGGAAACACUCUUUUUGUAGAAUCAAUGAAAAGACAUUUCUGAGCCCACUCAGGCCUAUGUUGAAAAAUCGAAUAUCCCACAAUAAAAACUAGAAACAAGGCAAGUAUAAAAAUGCUUUGUGGUGUCUGGAUUCAUCUUAGAAAGUUAAACCUUUGCUUUAAUUAAAUAGGUUGGAAACACUGUUGUUGUAGAAUCUACGAAGGGACAUUUCUGAGGCCUUCGACUCCUAUUGUUACACACUGAAUAGCCCAUGAUAAAAACUAGAAACAAG
rnacentral:lncRNA from 1 species